rnacentral:rRNA from 1 species
GAUGAACGCUGGCGGCGUGCCUAAUACAUGCAAGUCGAGCGAACAGACGAUGGGCUUGCUCCUCUGACGUUAGCGGCGGACGGGUGAGUAAGACGUGGAUAACCUACCUAUAAGACUGGGAUAACUUCGGGAAACCGGAGCUAAUACCGGAUAAUAUAUUGAACCGCAUGGUUCAAUAGUGAAAGACGGUUUUGCUGUCACUUAUAGAUGGAUCCGCGCCGCAUUAGCUAGUUGGUAAGGUAACGGCUUACCAAGGCGACGAUGCGUAGCCGACCUGAGAGGGUGAUCAGCCACACUGGAACUGAGACACGGUCCAGACUCCUACGGGAGGCAGCAGUGGGGAAUCUUCCGCAAUGGGCGCAAGCCUGACGGAGCAAUGCCGCGUGAGUGAUGAAGGUCUUCGGAUCGUAAAACUCUGUUAUUAGGGAAGAACAACUGUGUAAUUAUCUCUGCCCGUCUUGACGGUACCUAAUCAGAAAGCCACGGCUAACUACGUG